ACAAGAAUGAAAACUCAACACACUCAGACUUUCCCUGUCAUUGAAAUUCUUAGUGCUGCCUCAAGGAAAAUCUUUUUUUAUCCAUAACACUGUCUGCCAUCACUCUCCAGAAUUGUCAUCUUCUUCUCGGCCUGACAGCACCUAAUCUUAGCCAAGAGACACCUCACAGUUAUCAAGCCUCCUUCCAUGAACCAUCUUCUGAGGAUGUGGCAGGUGACUCCAUGUUCUCCUCAGCCUGGAGAAACCUGACGACACACAGGUGUUUGCAUUUUAGCCAGUAGGAAGUCUUAUCUGGGACAUCAGUCAGAAUGUUGCAAAAAUGAAGAGGAUGUUAUUACUCACAGUAAGCCAUACUGUGACUUAUGAAGAAUCACUCUGUAUAGUACUCCAAAGAACCCCUGGGAUCUUCUGGGACAACAGCAUUGAAACCAUCACAUUCCUGCUAGACAGGUCCUCUUGGAUGUAGCAUUUUCAACUAGACCAGAAAUCAGUGUUGGCAAAUAUGAAGGAAAAGAGAACAGGAAAAUAUAAACUGCUUAAAAAAUGCAAGCUAAUAACCAUAUUCUUCAACAGAUUGAAAUGUUACCUGUUACCCAGGGUAGCAUUUGCAUGUUUUUAAACCAAAUUCUGGCUAUAGUCAGGUAAAUAUUGACUGAGCUGUGUCAGUACCAGCAGAAAAGGCCCAACAGGUGACCAUGGCAAUGUCAUCCACUGCUUUCUUUUGCAGUGUUCACAGCUGUCCAGUGCCUAAUCCCAAAGGUCACAUUUUCCUAAGAAUCUAUUUCUAAAAUACUGACUUAAAGUGAUGGGACAAAAAAUGUGGAAUGUGUCCUGGACAUCCGUAGGAAAGGAAAUGGUUUAGAAACUUCUGAACGCCAGCAACUCUGAAACAGUAUGCCAGCAAAUCUGCAACACUGAACCUAAAAAACCCAGUCCAAGUUUGUCACAUCCUAUAAGAACCCUUGUACAUUUUCCAACAGAAUAAAUGUAAAAAAAAUUUAGUAGAUUAUUUUUUUUUUAUCAGAGAAAUACUUCUUAAAAGUAUUUAGCAUAGUCAAAUGAAGCUCAUGUUAAUAAUGAAAAACUUUAGGUUCCUGUGGCGACUUGUAUUUAACUGCCUUAAUGAAAAAAGAUUUUAAAAAAUUAUAAUUUUUCCAGAGGUAUAGUGAUUUUUUUUCACUCUCAUAGCAGGAAUCAUUUAUAUGAUAAUGGUACAUAAAAAAAGCAAAUCUCCUUCAAAUAUUAACAUUAAUGCAUAACAUCAUGAACUUUAUGUGAAAACCAAUGAACAUAAUGUUCUUUUGGUAUUCUAUAUCUGUGCGUUUCUCAGCUUAAAAUAAAGGCCAGAAGUGGUGAUAGUUAAAGGCCACAGUUUAAUCCAUAGUUUUCUCCAGCAUAACCAAGUGAUCCAGUCUGUUAUGGGAACCUAGGACAGGCACUUGUCUUAGUCUGGCCUAACAGUCCUGGAAAGGGAACAAAUGUUAACACCAACAUUGUUAAGAAACAUAAGAAUAACGUCAUGCUUGUAAUGCAGAAAGGAGGAUUUUUCUUUAAGUGUUUUGGAAACAUUAGAAUCACAGAACCAAUAAGGUUGGAAAAGGUCUCUAAGAUCAUCAAGUCCAGCCAUUAUCCUAAUAUCUCUAUGUCCAUAUUUUAAUUAUAUUUGUAAGGAGCACAAGCUUACUGUGCUCUUACAUAUUAUACAGUCACUGCAGUGAAGGAAACUUUGACACAAACUACACCUAGCAGAUGAACCAAAGAAUUAAAUAAGUCUAGGUCAUGUUCAUUUAAGAGCUGAAAAGUGGGAUGAAAUGCUCACAUUUAGUCCUGAAAGACAGUUUAUACAAACCAGAAGUCUGAGUGUGAAAUCUAAUGAGGGACAUUUAAGGACAAAAGCCCAUAUUAUAAAAAAUACGGAGAGCAAUGGAAUUAGUGCCCUGCUUCACCUUUCACAAAGCUUUCAGCUCAGAUCUGAUGGGAAAUGCCAUUCCUACUGUGUUUUGUUACUCUCUAAGGACAGACAUUAUUCAGGCCCCUUCUCUGCAGCUGUCUUACAUCCUAGCUGCGUGAGUUUCAUCCCUUAUGUCAGAUCCAUAAUAACAUCAUUAAUAACAUUAAUUCAUUAUCCUACGGAAGUAAAUUUCAAUCCAGUAAAGGCAGCAUCGGGAGGCAUAUGGCAAGAAGCCUGCAGUAAACUAAUCUGCUGACAAACCCCUCCUAUCUGUCAGUGCUUUGACUUUACCAAUGUCUUUUGUUUUUAUCCAGUGCUUCAGCAUAUCACUCCGAUUACGUGUGCUUAGAGACGGUAGGCUUCUGUAACAUUUUCUCUGAAAUUAAAUCCCAGUGCUUUCAUGCUAGGAGUGCAAAUCCCUCCUAGAAAUUCUUUCCAGCCUCUGAGUGCCCUUUAUAGGUACCCUGCGGCUACAGCCCUGCGGUAACAGACCCCGUGCGUUUCAGCUCAGCUGUUCAAACACGUGCAUGACCUGGACAGUUAACACUCUCUCAAUCCUUUUAUCUGUCCCCUUCAGCUCUUUAGAAACAGCUCUUCAUUUGCUCCUCGUUUGUAUCAAGGCAAGUUUGAAUCAGCAUUUCUUCAUCACAACGCAUAAUCUCUGGGAAAAACACUUAUAAUUGUUACGGGAGUGAAGCAAAUAAGCAAGCAAGUGUUGACCGCUGUAUGUAAUCCAAAAGUUUAGUGUCACUCUGCUGGAACAGAGCUGCCUGAAAGAGAGAGGGAAGAGCAGGGUUUUAGUUCCUUAAGUUACAGUAUUAGAAUAUCUCAAGGGACAGGCAUAGUCUCUUUGGAGCAAAUAUAUGCCUUUUGCAUUUUGAGCCCAUCUGCAAAUGAUUCAGAAGGUAUUUCAAAACUCAAAAUUUUAAAGCUUUCUUCAUUCUCCAACUGUACAAUAUAAAGAAUUUUUCAAUGGUAUCCUAUUGAAAAAUGUGACACUACACACACAGACUGAUCAUCCAUUUCACUUACUAGUCCUUUGCAAAGGCAAAAGGGGGUGAUCUUAACAGGACAGUUGAAACUGGAUUUGCUCAGAAAUAAAAGUUCAUGAGAGACAAGAAGGAAAAACACCCCAAAGACUUUUUAAUAAACUUUUCUAUUCAAAAUACCAACCUGAGCAAUUAAUUCAUAUUUCAAAAAUAAUGUAGAUCAUACUUUUCACCUGCCUUUGCACUGCAUAUUACCACUGUGGUUUUAGUGCAUCAUCUGCUGCCUGGAGCUUCAUGAACUGGAAAGAUGUGCUAUCAUAACAAAACUCUGCUGUGACCUGUUUCAUCACAGCCACAUUUCUCCCCACAUGUGGUUGCUUUUUGGUGGUUCAUAAAAGCAAAUCACCCACACAGAGGUUAAAACUACAUGAUGUUGUCUGACAAAAGCACAGCAUAAAGCCUAGCUAUCCAUAAUAUCUGUGUUAUUAGAAGCUUUAUGUCACUUUUUCCAGUCAGAUGGUGCCU